CAAGUGAUCCCCUCUCAAGUGCUUGAUACGGUCCCACGGCAAGUGAACCGGGAAAAGCUCAAAUUUCAAAUCUGGCGUGCUCAGUGCGUCCGAGUUGUAAUCUAAAGAGGCGUUUUCCGUGCCGGACUGUGUCCAAGUCCCUUGGAACAGGGUAUCAAAGAGGGUGAUAAUCCCGUACUUGACACAAUGACCGGUGCUCUGUGAUAAGUCUUCUACGAGUCGAGUUGUUUGGGAAAGCAGCUCAAAAAGGGUGGUGAGUUCCAUCUAAAGCUAAAUAUUGGCGAGAGACCGAUAGCGAACAAGUACCGUGAGGGAAAGAUGAAAAGCACUUUGGAAAGAGAGUUAAACAGUACGUGAAAUUGUUAAAAGGGAAACGAUUGAAGUCAGUCGUGAAUGAGAGGCUCAGCCGGUUCUGCCGGUGUAUUCCCCUCAGUCGGGUCAACAUCAGUUUUGUUCGGUGGAUAAGGGCAGCUGGAAGGUAGCACCCUCGGGUGUGUUAUAGCCAGUUGUCGCAUACAUCGGAUGAGACUGAGGAAUGCAGCUCGCCGGGAUGGCCGGGGUUAGCCCACGUUCGAGCUUAGGAGGUUCCCAGACAUAAUGGCUUUAAACGACCCGUAGUGAGAACA
rnacentral:rRNA from 1 species